AUUGUGUCCAAUGCUCUGCCCACAGGACAGAAGGAAGCAUUGUGACCUCAUUCCUGUUCACACCUGCUGCCCUGAAAUUCUACCUUCGGCUUCAAGAGAUGGUCUACUUCCGCCCUUCUGUUAUAACACUAAUGUGUUCAACUUCCUAAAACCUGUAGAGCCAUGAUGGGAGUUCUGGAGGAAAUGUUCCACUGAGGAGAGCCACAAGGAGGAGAAGCAGAACACGGAUAAGAGAACCCAAGGUGCAUCUUCUACAGGGAACAUUAUAUUGCAUGCUCCUGCCCUACCUGAAGAGGGCUAGAACGUGAGGCUGUGGGACAGCAGGGGCAGGACAGCCACCGGGCCCUGCAAGGCUGUAUAAGGCAGUCGUCCCAGGCAGAGGUGAGCCGGCACCAGAGCACAGAGCCUUCUGAUUGCAAAGCCAGUACUUUCUCCACCAGCCAUUCUGUACCAUUACUGGUAACCCCAGUCCUUGUGCUGGAGGCCCCCAAAUUCCAACAUGCCUCCUACAAACACAUUGGAUUCUGUUCACUGACCUUUUCUAUAUGGAUGCUUCUGGAUGAGGCCUUUGAUGCCAGCUGAAAAGUAAGUGCCUAGGGAGAUUCCACACAAAGCCGUCAUCAGUCUCUGACACCUCAGAAUGAGUUUCCAUUAUUUCAAGCAAGCUGAAUUGAUGGGGAGAGAAAAAGGGAUCUGAAUGUGCUAUUAAGUAAAGAGGACACAGAACUAACAUCCAGAUGGAUAAAAGACAGACUGCCCACCCCAUGCAAUACUCUUUAUCAUUCGAGCUGGACAAGAACAUGCACUUGAGUAAGAUGUGAUUUCUGCUCUUAGGACCUCACUGUCUCAUAAGAGAAACUUGUGUGCAAUUUUUUUAAAAACCCUCAAUAGAACCCAAAAGGACUAUAAACACACUAUGGUCAUGUAUUCUGAAUCAGGUAUCCAUGCCCUGGGCACAAGCUUCAAGAACGCAUAACAGUAGGACCAAAUAUUUUAAAUCAACACUACCUCAGAAUAUGGGGCCAUGCCACCUGUAAAAGGCAUAUGCAAAUUGCCACCAGAAGUUUCCAGGGCAG